rnacentral:RNase_P_RNA from 1 species
AAAGAGGAUAAUAUGUCUGCGUGCUUUGCUAGUCAAGGCACGAGGAAAGUCCGGACACCAUAGGGUAUGAUGCUUCCUAACGGGAAGUCUUGGUAACGAGAAGCUAGCUCCACAGAAAGAAACCGCUUAGAUACGCAAGUUGAAUAAGUAAGGGUGAAAAGGUAGUGUAAGAGACUACCAGAUGCUUUGGUAACAAGGUAUGCUCGGAAUGCCUCAUCAGGUGCAAUGCCAAAUAGGGGAGCUUGAAGUUACCCGCUUCUAUAACUCUCGGGUAGGCAGCUUAAAUCGGCUUUUAUAGACAUUAUUGUGUGGCGACACCCGAUUUAGAUGAAUAGACAUAAUGCUACUUAUUAUGUAGUAAACAGAAUCCGGCUUAAUAUCUUCUUUUAGC